rnacentral:ncRNA from 1 species
ACUAAAUCGAAGCUUAAAACUUUCACACAUUCAUAUUCGCAUAUUUUAGACAAUAAAUAUCAUAUUCAAAUAAUUUGGUGACUCAGUUUAGUAGUCCCGAAACCGCUUUCCGACUAGGGUCACUUCAGGGCUGUCACAGUUAGGGAGUCCGAAAACGUCAGCGGGGGCCUCGAGAAGAUUUAUCUUUUUUGUUUAACGGCCUGCCCACCCUGGAAACGGCUCAGCCAUACGUAGGACGGAAAAGCACCACAUGUGGUGUGGUGUCCGGUGUAGCCCCGGCGGCCCUUGAGAAUCUAGAGGACCGAGUGCCAUUCGCACCUGGUCGUAUUCAUAACCUUAUCAAGUCUCCAAUAUGAACAACCUUUGGU